GGUUAAGCGACUAAGCGUACACGGUGGAUGCCCUGGCAGUCAGAGGCGAUGAAGGACGUGCUAAUCUGCGAUAAGCGUCGGUAAGGUGAUAUGAACCGUUAUAACCGGCGAUUUCCGAAUGGGGAAACCCAGUGUGUUUCGACACACUAUCAUUAACUGAAUCCAUAGGUUAAUGAGGCGAACCGGGGGAACUGAAACAUCUAAGUACCCCGAGGAAAAGAAAUCAACCGAGAUUCCCCCAGUAGCGGCGAGCGAACGGGGAGCAGCCCAGAGCCUGAAUCAGUGUGUGUGUUAGUGGAAGCGUCUGGAAAGGCGCGCGAUACAGGGUGACAGCCCCGUACACAAAAAUGCACAUGCUGUGAGCUCGAUGAGUAGGGCGGGACACGUGGUAUCCUGUCUGAAUAUGGGGGGACCAUCCUCCAAGGCUAAAUACUCCUGACUGACCGAUAGUGAACCAGUACCGUGAGGGAAAGGCGAAAAGAACCCCGGCGAGGGGAGUGAAAAAGAACCUGAAACCGUGUACGUACAAGCAGUGGGAGCACGCUUAGGCGUGUGACUGCGUACCUUUUGUAUAAUGGGUCAGCGACUUAUAUUCUGUAGCAAGGUUAACCGAAUAGGGGAGCCGAAGGGAAACCGAGUCUUAACUGGGCGUUAAGUUGCAGGGUAUAGACCCGAAACCCGGUGAUCUAGCCAUGGGCAGGUUGAAGGUUGGGUAACACUAACUGGAGGACCGAACCGACUAAUGUUGAAAAAUUAGCGGAUGACUUGUGGCUGGGGGUGAAAGGCCAAUCAAACCGGGAGAUAGCUGGUUCUCCCCGAAAGCUAUUUAGGUAGCGCCUCGUGAAUUCAUCUCCGGGGGUAGAGCACUGUUUCGGCAAGGGGGUCAUCCCGACUUACCAACCCGAUGCAAACUGCGAAUACCGGAGAAUGUUAUCACGGGAGACACACGGCGGGUGCUAACGUCCGUCGUGAAGAGGGAAACAACCCAGACCGCCAGCUAAGGUCCCAAAGUCAUGGUUAAGUGGGAAACGAUGUGGGAAGGCCCAGACAGCCAGGAUGUUGGCUUAGAAGCAGCCAUCAUUUAAAGAAAGCGUAAUAGCUCACUGGUCGAGUCGGCCUGCGCGGAAGAUGUAACGGGGCUAAACCAUGCACCGAAGCUGCGGCAGCGACGCUUAUGCGUUGUUGGGUAGGGGAGCGUUCUGUAAGCCUGCGAAGGUGUGCUGUGAGGCAUGCUGGAGGUAUCAGAAGUGCGAAUGCUGACAUAAGUAACGAUAAAGCGGGUGAAAAGCCCGCUCGCCGGAAGACCAAGGGUUCCUGUCCAACGUUAAUCGGGGCAGGGUGAGUCGACCCCUAAGGCGAGGCCGAAAGGCGUAGUCGAUGGGAAACAGGUUAAUAUUCCUGUACUUGGUGUUACUGCGAAGGGGGGACGGAGAAGGCUAUGUUGGCCGGGCGACGGUUGUCCCGGUUUAAGCGUGUAGGCUGGUUUUCCAGGCAAAUCCGGAAAAUCAAGGCUGAGGCGUGAUGACGAGGCACUACGGUGCUGAAGCAACAAAUGCCCUGCUUCCAGGAAAAGCCUCUAAGCAUCAGGUAACAUCAAAUCGUACCCCAAACCGACACAGGUGGUCAGGUAGAGAAUACCAAGGCGCUUGAGAGAACUCGGGUGAAGGAACUAGGCAAAAUGGUGCCGUAACUUCGGGAGAAGGCACGCUGAUAUGUAGGUGAAGUCCCUCGCGGAUGGAGCUGAAAUCAGUCGAAGAUACCAGCUGGCUGCAACUGUUUAUUAAAAACACAGCACUGUGCAAACACGAAAGUGGACGUAUACGGUGUGACGCCUGCCCGGUGCCGGAAGGUUAAUUGAUGGGGUCAGCGCAAGCGAAGCUCUUGAUCGAAGCCCCGGUAAACGGCGGCCGUAACUAUAACGGUCCUAAGGUAGCGAAAUUCCUUGUCGGGUAAGUUCCGACCUGCACGAAUGGCGUAAUGAUGGCCAGGCUGUCUCCACCCGAGACUCAGUGAAAUUGAACUCGCUGUGAAGAUGCAGUGUACCCGCGGCAAGACGGAAAGACCCCGUGAACCUUUACUAUAGCUUGACACUGAACAUUGAGCCUUGAUGUGUAGGAUAGGUGGGAGGCUUUGAAGUGUGGACGCCAGUCUGCAUGGAGCCGGCCUUGAAAUACCACCCUUUAAUGUUUGAUGUUCUAACGUUGACCCGUAAUCCGGGUUGCGGACAGUGUCUGGUGGGUAGUUUGACUGGGGCGGUCUCCUCCUAAAGAGUAACGGAGGAGCACGAAGGUUGGCUAAUCCUGGUCGGACAUCAGGAGGUUAGUGCAAUGGCAUAAGCCAGCUUGACUGCGAGCGUGACGGCGCGAGCAGGUGCGAAAGCAGGUCAUAGUGAUCCGGUGGUUCUGAAUGGAAGGGCCAUCGCUCAACGGAUAAAAGGUACUCCGGGGAUAACAGGCUGAUACCGCCCAAGAGUUCAUAUCGACGGCGGUGUUUGGCACCUCGAUGUCGGCUCAUCACAUCCUGGGGCUGAAGUAGGUCCCAAGGGUAUGGCUGUUCGCCAUUUAAAGUGGUACGCGAGCUGGGUUUAGAACGUCGUGAGACAGUUCGGUCCCUAUCUGCCGUGGGCGCUGGAGAACUGAGGGGGGCUGCUCCUAGUACGAGAGGACCGGAGUGGACGCAUCACUGGUGUUCGGGUUGUCAUGCCAAUGGCACUGCCCGGUAGCUAAAUGCGGAAGAGAUAAGUGCUGAAAGCAUCUAAGCACGAAACUUGCCCCGAGAUGAGUUCUCCCUGACUCCUUGAGAGUCCUGAAGGAACGUUGAAGACGACGACGUUGAUAGGCCGGGUGUGUAAGCGCAGCGAUGCGUUGAGCUAACCGGUACUAAUGAACCGUGAGGCUUAACCUU
rnacentral:rRNA from 1 species